UAAAUUGAUGCUACAACCUGACUGGGGGAUGGCUCGGCUCGAGAGCUGAUGAAGGUCGUGACAAGCUGCGAUAAGCU
rnacentral:rRNA from 1 species